AGCCUGAUGCAGCGACGCCGCGUGGGGGAUGACGGCCUUCGGGUUGUAAACCUCUUUCAGUAGGGACGAAGCGCAAGUGACGGUACCUACAGAAGAAGGACCGGCCAACUACGUGCCAGCAGCCGCGGUAAUACGUAGGGUCCGAGCGUUGUCCGGAAUUACUGGGCGUAAAGAGCUCGUAGGUGGUUUGUCGCGUUGUUCGUGAAAACCGGGGGCUUAACCCUCGGCGUGCGGGCGAUACGGGCAGACUGGAGUACUGCAGGGGAGACUGGAAUUCCUGGUGUAGCGGUGGAAUGCGCAGAUAUCAGGAGGAACACCGGUGGCGAAGGCGGGUCUCUGGGCAGUAACUGACGCUGAGGAGCGAAAGCGUGGGGAGCGAACAGGAUUAGAUACCCUGGUAGUCCACGCCGUAAACGGUGGGUACUAGGUGUGGGUUUCCUUCCUUGGGAUCCGUGCCGUAGCUAACGCAUUAAGUACCCCGCCUGGGGAGUACGGCCGCAAGGCUAAAACUCAAA
rnacentral:rRNA from 1 species